rnacentral:rRNA from 1 species
AUUGAACGCUGGCGGCAGGCCUAACACAUGCAAGUCGAGCGGAGCGGCCGACGGGUGAGUGAUUCCUAUGAAUCUGCCUGGUAGUGGGGGAUAACGACCGUAAACGGGCGCUAAUACAUCAUACUCUCAGCUGAGCCUAGGUCGGAUUAGCUAGUUGGUGGGGUAAAGGCCUACCAAGGCGACGAUCCGGAACUGGUCUGAGAGGAUGAACAGUCACACUGGAACUGAGACACGGUCCAGACUCCUACGGGAGGCAGCAGUGGGGAAUAUUGGACAAUGGGAGAAAGCCUGAUCCAGCCAUGCCGCGUGUGUGAAGAAGGCCUUCGGAUUGUAAAGCACUUUAAGCUGGGAGGCGUUACCAACAGAAUAAGCACCGGCUAACUCCGUGCCAGCAGCCGCGGUAAUUC